rnacentral:rRNA from 1 species
UACGUAGGGUGCAAGCGUUAUCCGGAUUCACUGGGGUUAAAGGGUGCGUAGGUGGGCUGGUAAGUCAGUGGUGAAAUCUCCAGGCUUAACUUGGAAACUGCCAUUGAUACUAUUAGUCUUGAAUACCGUGGAGGUCAGCGGAAUAUGUCAUGUAGCGGUGAAAUGCUUAGAUAUGACAUAGAACACCAAUUGCGAAGGCAGCUGGCUACACGAAUAUUGACACUGAUGCACGAAAGCGUGGGGAUCAAACAGG